rnacentral:rRNA from 1 species
AUUGAACGCUGGCGGCAUGCCUUACACAUGCAAGUCGAACGGCAGCACGGGAGCAAUCCUGGUGGCGAGUGGCGAACGGGUGAGUAAAGUAUCGGAACGUGCCCAGUCGUGGGGGAUAACGUAGCGAAAGUUACGCUAAUACCGCAUACGAUCUAUGGAUGAAAGCGGGGGAUCGCAAGACCUCGCGCGAUUGGAGCGGCCGAUAUCAGAUUAGGUAGUUGGGGGGGUAAAGACUCACCAAGCCGACGAUCUGUAGCUGGUCUGAGAGGACGACCAGCCACACUGGGACUGAGACACGGCCCAGACUCCUACGGGAGGCAGCAGUGGGGAAUUUUGGACAAUGGGCGAAAGCCUGAUCCAGCCAUGCCGCGUGCAGGAUGAAGGCCUUCGGGUUGUAAACUGCUUUUGUACGGAACGAAAAGGUUUGGCCUAAUAAGCUGAGCUCAUGACGGUACCGUAAGAAUAAGCACCGGCUAACUACGUGCCAGCAGCCGCCGUAAUAC